rnacentral:rRNA from 1 species
GACAGAGGUGCCGAGCGUUAGGCGGAAUCACUGGGCUUAAAGCGUGUGUAGGCGGGCGGGCAAGUACCUUGUGAAAUCCCACGGCUCAACCGUGGAACGGCUGGGUAUACUGCCUGUCUUGAGCCAACUAGGGGCGAGCGGAACAGACGGUGGAGCGGUGAAAUGCGUAGAUAUCGUAAGGAAGACCAGUGGCGAAGGCGGGUCUCUGGACAGUUCCUGACGCUGAGGCACGAAGGCCAGGGGAGCAAACGGG